CAAACAAAAAAUAACAACAAUUCAAAUAAUUCAUAAUCAUAUCUGUUUUAAAAAACAGUUACUGACAUCCAAAUGUAUCACUCCUCACUACAGCGCACUGGUGUGUCACUAGUGCAAACUAUGUCAAAACACAGAUGUCUGCUGAUGGCACGUCUGGACAGCGAGAUAAAGACUAAAGAUGACAGAUCUUUCCACGUGAUUAAACGUAUUUCUAACCCCGAAGAGCGGCGUUAAGUUUCUGUUCUGACGCUCUGAUCCCAUUUAUUGUGUCAAAACAUUGCAUCUCGUCCGAUAUGACCAAAAAGGCCUCGACAGAGGAUGCUGAGAAGACCGAAGCGAGCAGGAGCAAGCAGCUGUGUGACUAUCUGGUGUCCUUAAUGUGAUUACCAUGACUGCAGAUUGACGGCAUACACAAGCUUAGAGUAUCUCUUGUGCUUGGCACCACAUGUCGAGACUCAGUAGGAGUUCCCAUCCGACUGCCCAUCAGCCAAUCACAUCUCUCAAGCCGUCUGGCCUGAUUUUUAUUUACAAAUGUUUCAGUUUUAUUCUCUUGAGAGUAGCCCUGGAUGCAACUGGCUCCUAUGGCCGACGUUGUGUCUGAUCGGGCCAUGUGGGAGCAGGAAAGACACGGCUGUCCCAUGGGCUGAGAUUAGAGAGGGUCUGAUAGCACUGAGGUUUGCUAUGUCUGCCUGGCUGAGUACAUUGUUCUACUGUAACAUAUGGGCCAGACCACACACACAGCCAGAAGAGAAGCCAUUCCGGAGGUCAUGACGAGGAAGUGCAACAAUUCACCAAGAAUAAUUGGGGACAAUUAGCAUUUGCACAAUUUCCUAACUCUUCUGAUUUGUUUUUGGCGAUCUAAUGGAGGAUAAAUCACUGUCAAACAUCCGCUCACUUUCAGUAAAUCUGCCUGGAUUUUCAGUUGUUGCUUAAAGUGGUGAUAGUAGCCAUGGCUGCAGAGUUCCUCUGAACAAAUGAAUCACUAGCCUGGCUCUAAAAGCAUGAAUUCAUGAUUUGUGUUGCAAUUUUUACCAUGCAUAAUUAAACUUUUGAACAUAACUAAACACCCCAUUUCCUGUUCAUAACAUGG